AAGAGGCUUCUCUGGAAGCUCCGGGGUUGGGGUGUUCAUCCCUGCAGUCUUUUCCAGCUAUGGUGUAGAGCAUUUUGGGCAGGAGAAUCUAGGACCAAGCCACACCAGUUCUCUCCUCAACCCACUCCAUUCGACUGUUCUCCCAGCUAUGCUUCCAGAGUGCUCUGUGUGUUUCCACAAUCAACAAACAGUGAAUAAAUCUCUGUUCUGGAGGCUGGGAAGUCCAAGAUCAAGGCACUGUCAUCUGGUGCCUGAUGAGAGACUUCUUCCUGUAUCUGUACAUAGUGGAGGCAAAAGAGUGAUGGAGAAUGAAUGCACUCCCAGCCCAUUCAAGAGGGAAGAGCCCUCACCUCAUCACUCCCUGGAGGCCUCACCUUACAGUACUGUCACCUUGGUGAUUAGAUUUCAACAUAGGAAUUUGAGGGGAAUACAUACAUCCAGACUAUUGCAUACAUCCAGAUGGGAUUAUGUAGUACUUUGUUCCUGUUUGGCUUAUUUCUUCACUUAGCACAAUAUCUUUCUGGUAUGUGCAUGUUUUUGCAAAUGGCAAGAUUUUCUUCCUUUUUAAGGCUGAGUAAUAUUUCAUUGCGUGUAUAGACCACAUUUUCUUUAUGCAUUCAUUGUUAUUGAGAGUUCUUAUUACAAAUGGGGAAGUGGUUUUUAAUAUUGGUUUAAUUUUUGUUAUUGAAAACGUUUUUAGAUGGUUAGAUUCUUUUUGAAAAUAAAUAUACUCUGUUAAGGCAGUUUUAAUUUCACAGCAGAAUUAGGAAGUACGUAGAUUUCCCAUAUACCCUGAUCCACAUAUAUAUGUAGCCUUCGCCCUUUUCAACACCUCCGCCCACCAUAGUAGUACAUUUGUUAAAAUGAGGAACCUACACUGAGACAUCAUAGUUGUCCAAAGGCCAUAGUUUGCAUUAGGGUUUACUCUUGUGGUUUUACAUGCUAUGGGUUUGAGUAAAGUUUAAUGACAUGUAUCCAGCCUUACAGUACC